ACGGAGGGUGCGAGCGUUAAUCGGAAUGACUGGGCGUAAAGGGCACGCAGGCGGAUUGUUAAGUGAGAUGUGAAAGCCCCGGGCUUAACCUGGGAAUUGCAUUUCAGACUGGCAAUCUAGAGUAUUUUAGGGAGGGGUAGAAUUCCACGUGUAGCGGUGAAAUGCGUAGAGAUGUGGAGGAAUACCGAAGGCGAAGGCAGCCCCUUGGGAAUAUACUGACGCUCAUGUGCGAAAGCGUGGGGAGCAAACAG
rnacentral:rRNA from 1 species